GGUGGAUUUCUCCCUAGCUCCGACGGAAUGGCGCUCGUGGUUAGUUCGGCCGUCUUGUAUCGCACGAGCGUUUGUAAACGCUCGUGCGACUCAAGGCGGCGGAACUAGUCACGAGCGCCCUUCCAUCGGAGCUAGGUAGAAAUUCACGA
rnacentral:pre_miRNA from 1 species